CUCCUGUAUCUAUCAUAGGCGUAUAAUAUCUACUGUAAUAUCCUUCUACUACUAUCUUCAUUAAUACAUAUAUUUUCAUUUUAUGUUAAGGCUCUUCUUAAGAAUAAUUUCUCUCUGUUAUAUGUUAAGAUUAAUUGUGUAUGUUAUAUAUUAUAUGGUUUUACUUGUUCUAGCUAUUUUAUUCCUAAUAUUAUGUCUGCUUUUUGCAUUUCUUCCUUUACUUUAAAUUCUAUUUUUAUUUUUUUGAUUCCUAUUAUUAUUUCUUUUUCUGCUAUAUUUUUACUAUUUAUUAAACUUCUUGGUAGAUCUGCGCAUAUAUCAUUAUCACUUUUUAUUUCUUCAUUUUUUACUAGAUAUUUUACUAUAUAAUUUUCUUCUUGUCCUGUAUUUAAGAGUAUUAAAUAUUCUUUUUCAUUUACCUUUCCUAUUAUG
rnacentral:lncRNA from 1 species